rnacentral:tRNA from 1 species
GGUUCCGUAGCGCAGCUGGAUAGCGCGUCUGCCUCCUAAGCAGAAAGUCGGCGGUUCGAAUCCGCCCGGAAUCGCCA